GAAAUAUUUAGGUUUCGAGAUGGCACUCAUUGACGGUGGGGGAGCACCCCCACCCCAAUUUUGGAUGAAACUUUCAAAAAAAAAUCUGAGGCAUGUGAUAUAUUGAAUUGUAUGUUUUCGGCGACGCUGAACACGAAUAUGACAUCAGAUUUUUGAUUGGACCCCAUCCACGGCCCCCAGAACCUCCUCAAAGGGGGUAAAAGUUCAAAAAAGCGUUUUGUUCGUGUGACUCAUGGAAUAGUAUGUUUUUGGUGACGCUGAACACGAAUAUGACGUCAAAUUUGUGAUUGGACCCCAUCCACGGCCCCCAGAGCCUUCCCAAGGUGGUGACCUCCCAAAAAAAUUGUUACAUUCAUGUGACACAUGAAAUAGUAUGUUUUCGAUAUCGCUGAACACGAAUAUUGCCUUCUAACGUGUUGCGCCGUUUAUGACACGAUGUAGGCAACACAGACCCACGCGUCUAAAGGUACCUUACCUCUAAUACUUUGCCUAAUUUUAUUGCUCGAGGGUAACAAGGGUGAUUAAAAUUGGCACAUUUCGUAACCAGAUAUUAGGUACGUAAACUGUUUCGCAGAUGUGUAACUUGAGGUGAAAUGAAGUUAUGUAGGAGCAAUUUAUAAGAUGUUUCUGGAAGAUAACUUGAUCAACGUUUAGGUAGGUAAUCAUUUUGACAGCAUUUCGCCCAUUAGAAAGGUAUUCGUGUUAAUUACGUAGAAUUUUGUAGGUAGUUAAAAUGGAAGGAAUCAUUUAUCUACUGUUGAAAGAUGGUUUAUGGGCAGCUGUUUAAAAAAUAGGUACCAAAUUGUCAAUAAUCAUAACUUCAUGAGUGUAAAUUAUUAAUUUUUCGACUCUGCCAGUUUCAGAAGGAGAAGGGGGGCUCUGGAUGGGAGAGAGCAUCGUUAGAGCAAGGUUACAAAAAUCACGUCACAUUAAAUCAAUUCAAGACCAUAAAUCAUCAGUAAAUAAAUAUGAAUAAAGGAUAAUCGCGAACAAUUCAUCUCAUUUGCUUUACAUACUAGCUAACCUAACACUUGCUCAUAAAUUCAACGUUGACUGAGCAGGUAAUUGCGUAGGUAUUUUUUUUAAUAAAAGAAAACUUGUCCACUCAGUCCCUAUACUCGAUUUCACUCGGUCAACGUUCAUCAAGUUAAUCGUGAGAAACUUAUAUGAAAAUGUAUGCGAAAAUUUUAUUGUGUUUUUGCGUUUUCCUAAUCGAAUGGGUGAUGUAUCCAGUUCACAGUGUAACUCUUGAAGACUACCAUAAUUUCCAAGGUAAAGAUCUUUCAUCGAUGAAUGACGCUGAUCUGGCUAAUAUUUGUAAAAAAGCAGCAGCGAAGACAAACCGUGCAGGAUCAGAUUACAAAGCAAUCAUCUUCGGGGGCAAAGACGGAUGUGAUCUUGUUUUUGGAACUGAAUCUGAGUAUGAAAAAUUAGUUCGGUGUUCAGGUAGCGAGCGGUAAUGUAUUUUUUAUCGGCAAAGGGCAAACAAAAUACGGCGUUUUUGAGUAUAAAUGCGAUACUGACGGUGAUAAUGUUGCAUAUUGUGAUUGUGAUCCUGUGGGUAAUAUAGCCGGUGCUUUGUAAUUGCUUGCAUUUAUUUUUCAUUUUAAUAUAAAUGGGGGGGGGGGAGAGGGAGGUUCAUAAUUCUUACAAGAUUGAAGUUAGAUGUCUCAAUUUAAAUCAUAAUGUUUAUUCUUCUUCAAACACACAUAUCAAAAAAUAUCACAAAGUACAUAUGUGACCCGCUCUGACAAAACCGACCGUUUCGACAAAAAAAACGUGUCCAAAAUAAUGAUGUUUAAAAUGAGUUUUAAGGGUUGAAAGAUCAGAUUUUUGAGAAAAAAACAUUUUUUGAAAUUUUGUCGAAAUGGUCGGUUUUGUCAGAGCGGGUCACAUAUGUACAUAAAAAAUGGUAAAUCAAAAACGAGCAGGAUGCAAUCAUACGUCCGUUACAUAACAUAACGAAGUAAAAACAUAAGUUCCUGAGAGAACCGAAACUCAUCUCAAUUACCUAACCCACAUCUCGACCCCACCUCCACUUUCUUCCUCUACUGAGAGUUAUCUUUAUGUACUGUAAUAGGUAGGAUCCCAAUCAUACCCAUUUUACCACAAGGGACAAUUCUAUAAUUAUUAAGAAAUUUUCAAACUAUCACAAUAAUACAUAGAAUAACAAAUCAAAUACAUAUUAGAUUACCCACAGACUAGCUGCUAUCAUGGUCACAACAAAAUGGUUUGAAAGUUUCUCACUCUAAAUCUGCUGCCCUGCAUAUUUGCAAACGAAAAUGCUUCAAAAAAAUAAAUCUACUCAAGAAACUUUCACACACUUCUUAUGGUUCUGAUCGUCAUACCUUACUCAAACUCUACCGCACACUUAUCAGACCAGUUUUAGAUUAUGGAUGCUCUGUCCAUACUUAUGCCCUUGAUAGUCACCUCCGCAGGCUAAAUACUAUUCAAAAUACAGCUGUACAAAUUUCUACUGGAGCCUUUAGAACUACCCCCACUAUAAGCCUUCUUAAUGAUGCUUCUGAAUGUCCACUUGACAUACGUAGACAGUAUAUUUCCACAUCAACCUACUUGAACAUAAAAUCAAACCCAGAUUUCAACUUGAAGUUGGAAUAUAUGAUUCCUAUGCAUUCACUAUCUGUAAAAUUCCAAUCUUUUCUACAACAAGUAGAAGAAAAUAACAUCAAAAUACACCAUUUGCUGGUAAACCCUACCCCACCUUGGCAAUCUUUUAACCCUAUCAUUGACCUAUCUUUGACAGAAUUUGAUAAAAAUCUCACCAACCCCAUCAUACUUAAAAGACAUUUUCUUCUCCUUCUUGACAAGUAUAAAGAACACAGUCACAUAUAUUAUACUGAUGGCUCAAAAACCAAACAAUUCACUGGAUGUGCUAUCAUUCAUGGCAAUACCUCUAUUCCCAUUGCUCUCCCCUCCCUUUGCACCAUUCUCACUGCUGAAUUAUAUGCACUUAAAUCUGCAAUAACAUAUUCCCUUGAUUUUUCAUUAAAUAAAGUUAGAGUUUUUACUGACUCACUAUCAGCUCUUUUAUCAAUAAAAAACUAUAGAUCAAAAUAUUCACAUCCUAUAUCACUUGGAAUUAUAGAACUCCUGCAACUCUUCCAAAACAGUACACCCAUACUAUGCUGGAUACCUUCACACUCCCAGAUUAAUGGUAAUGAGUUGACUGAUGAAAUAGCUAAGCAAGCACACCUGCACCUCCCCCUUUCCAACAUCCCAAUCCCUUCAUCAGACCUAAAGCUCCAUUCAAAAACUUUAAUGCAUGAAGUGUUUCAAUCUUCAUGGUCUCUAAUCCCAAGCUCAAAUAAACUAAAAAGAAUAAAAAACGCUACAUCUUUAUGGAAAACUUCUGAACAACUUCAGCGUAGAUCUGAGGUUCUUCUCACCAGACUCAGAACUGGUCACUCUCUUCUUACUCACCAAUUCAUAUUCCUUAAACAGCCUCCACCAUCAUGCCCACAAUGCAACAGCCCCUUAAACAUAGCUCAUCUACUAAUAGACUGUCCUUCCUACCAAAAUGAACGCUCCAGACUUCUAAAUGCCAACCAACUUCAAGUCCUCCUUUCUGAUGACCCCACUCACAUAGACAAUGUCAUCAAAUUUCUUUACUCUACUAAAUUAGAUAAAAAAAUUUAAAACUUAAAACUUAAAAACCCAGGUAGCCCAUUUCUUUAUAUUGAUUGUAACUUUAUUUGUAGAUAUGUAUAUGUUGUGUACAAAGUCCGAAAUUGUACAAUUUGGGGUUGGUACAGCCAAUUUUGUACCAUCUCCGAAGUGUUCAGACCAAGCGUGAGUAUUACUUUUUCAUCCGGCUUGGUUUGUACCAUGCCCAGAGGGUCCGGACCAAGUGUUUGACUUGGUACAAUAUUGUGUUGUGCAAAGUCCGAAAUAUAGUUUUAUAAUGAAUGAAUUCGAAUUUUACAUCCCUUUAUUCCAUAAAUAUUGAACCAAAUAAAAGGAAAUUUAAAGGCGACUUUAAAAUACACCAUCAGCAAAAUUCUAAAAUUUGGUUUUUACUCUCUAUUUUUAACUUCUCGAGUCGUUUGGUAGUGGUUUUGAACAGGGCUGUAUUUACGCACAGGCAACUUAAGCAGCUUAUUUAGAGUAAAAUUAAAAUUUAGCAUAAACCCUGAUUAGCCAAUGAUCUUUAUGACAUUUUUGAUUGAUUUUUUCAAAACCAUUUUGUAUUAGUUCAAAUCCAAAAUUUUAAUUUUUUUAAAAAAUUACUGGAGAAAUCAGCUAUUAACUCAGAAAAUUGAUAAUAUGGUUCAAACCAAAUUCCAGCCUUUCACGACAAUUGAGUAAAAUUUUGACUUUGAAAAAUCCAUAAAAAAUGUUCAAAUGAGUACAGUACGAGAAUUUCUCGACUCGAGAAGUUGAAAAUAGAGAGUAAAAACUAAAUUUCAGCAUUUUAGUUAGUACCUCAAUUUGAUCUUUUUAUUUUUUUUCUUGAGAAGUGAGCAUAGCAAUAUUUGAAUAUUUAAAAAUUCCCCAUAAAAUCAAUAAAUGAAUUUCAGCACCUGAAAAUUUUGCUGAUGGUGUAUUUUAAAGUCUCCUUUAAAUUUCCUUUUAUUUAGUUCAAUAUUUAUGGAAUAAAGGGAUGUAAAAUUUGAAUUCAUUCAUUAUAAAACUAUAUUUCGGACUUUGCACAACACAAUUGUACCAAGUCGAAUACAUUGUCCGGACCCUCCGGGCAUGGUACAAACCAAGUCCGAUGAAAAAGUAAUACUCACGCUUGGUCCGGACACUUCGGAGAUAUGGUACAAAAUUGACUGUACCAACCCCGAAUUGUACAAUUUCGGACUUGGUACACAACAUAUAUACCCUAAUCAUAAGUUUGUCUUAAUAUAGGGCCACUAGCCUAAGUUUCUGUAAAUGGCUCUUAAUAAAUAAAUAAAUAAAUAAAUAAAUAACAAGA